ACACUUGUUCAUGAAAAUGAACAAGAUGUGGUACUAAUUUGUGAAUUGUAUUUCAUUUUUUGUCUGUUGUGGGAUGUCCUCCAUUCCGAUUCGUACCUGGUCAAUACAAGAAUUGCGCUGUAACGAAAGUACUCAUCUAGUACCUAGAAUGAGAAAAGCCGCUUUAAAUUAAUUACAAGUAUUUUCCAAAUAUGUUAAUAUAAAAAGAAGCAAAUCAUCAACAAAAAAAGAUGAGCCUACAGCACCCCGGAUUCCCAUGUUGUCUCCAACCAUAGUACUAACGAGGCCCUCAGACGCUUAACUGCAGUGAUCGGACGGGAACUGGUGUUUUCGCCUAGGUAUGGCCGUAGACGUUUAAA